CCCCAAGAUUAGGAAUCGUUAAGGAUCGUGAGAGAUGAUCACGUUGAUAGGCGCUAGGUGUAAGUACAGUAAUGUAUUAAGCCAAGGCGUACUAAUUUUCCGAUUCUAUUAGGAAA
rfam:Candidatus Zambryskibacteria bacterium RIFOXYC1_FTLL_39_10 rifoxyc1_full_scaffold_1904, whole genome shotgun sequence.